GUGCUCGCUUCAGAAGCACAUAUACUAAAAUUGGAAUGAUACAGUGAUUAGCAUGGUCCUGUACAAGGAUGACAUGCAAAAAUAUGAAGUAAUUUAGGGUAUA